CCCUUAGAUGCUCUGGGCCGCACGCGCGCUACAAUGGCAAACUCAGCGAGUCUCCUUUACCGACAGGUAUAGGAAAUCUUUUCAGCGUUUGCCGUGAUGGGGCUAGAUCCUUGUAAUUAUUGGUCUCCAACGAGGAAUUCCUAGUAAACGCAGGUCAUUAACCUGCAUUGAUUACGUCCCUGCCCUUUGUACACACCGCCCGUCGCACCUACCGAUUGAAUGGUCCGGUGAAGUCUCCGGACUGAGUACUUUUAGUACUUGGGAAGUUGACUAAACCUUACUAUUUAGAGGAAGGUGAAGUCGUAACA
rnacentral:rRNA from 1 species